CCUACGGGAGGCAGCAGUAGGGAAUAUUGCGCAAUGGGGGAAACCCUGAAGCAGCAACGCCGCGUGGAGGAUGAAGGUUUUCGGAUUGUAAACUCCUUUUGUUAGAGAAGAUAAUGACGGUAUCUAACGAAUAAGCACGGGCUAACUCCGUGCCAGCAGCCGCGGUAAUACGGAGGGUGCAAGCGUUACUCGGAAUCACUGGGCGGAAAGAGCGCGUAGGCGGGAUAGCAAGUCAGAUGUGAAAUCCUAUGGCUUAACCAUAGAACUGCAUUUGAAACUGUUAUUCUAGAGUAUGGGAGAGGUAGGUGGAAUUCUUGGUGUAGGGGUAAAAUCCGUAGAGAUCAAGAGGAAUACUCAUUGCGAAGGCGACCUGCUAGAACAUAACUGACGCUGAUGCGCGAAAGCGUGGGGAGCAAACAGGAUUAGAUACCCGAGUAGUC
rnacentral:rRNA from 1 species